UUGUGAGUGAGAGUGGAAAUGGUGUUCUGGGCAGCUAAACAACAAUUUUUGGUUGGAUGAUUUUACUUUUGGUCUGUAGUAAUUGCUAUGUAAAGAUAUCUGUGAAUGCCAGAGAAGUUUCGGUGUUGAUGCCUGGAGAAGAUAUUCCUACAUUCAUUGCCCAUCCAGCACCAGUACCCUGCCCCCCAGAGCGCAUAUCAUGGCCUAGCCAUCAGCAUAAAUCAUUGCACGGUAUUACCCAAGACUUGAAUUCAAACACAAGUUCAAGCUCAAGCUCAAUCUGAAAUGUCUGCUCUGUACAUCAAAUAUUAGUCAUGGACACAACUCAAGCAAAAGCCUAGCAUUAUAUAUUUGAAGAUAUGUAGCAAGGACCGGGCAUCUUAAAGGUAACAAUUUUUUCGCCCACACUCCUGAAUCUGUGUAUAUAGCAUUCGGUCAUGGUGGGCAUUCAUUAUUUUCAAAGAAUCAACAUCGAAAUAUCAUGCAAUGAUUUGGUUUGCAUACACUCGUAUUUUCAUAUUUUACCUGGUUUUGGGAUUUUUAAAGUUUGAUUUCGAACCUUGGAGAUGGAAUCUGAUUUCUGUCGAAUCGGUCUCCUUGUAUAGCUGUUGAGGAAUAUAAUUGAUGUUGGGUAUACGAGUAAAAA